rnacentral:rRNA from 1 species
UGGCGGACGGGUGAGUAACGCGUGAGAAUCUGGCUUCAGGUCGGGGAUAACUACUGGAAACGGUGGCUAAUACCGGAUGUGCCGAGAGGUGAAAGGCUUGCUGCCUGAAGAUGAGCUCGCGUCUGAUUAGCUAGUAGGUGUGGUAAGAGCGCACCUAGGCGACGAUCAGUAGCUGGUCUGAGAGGAUGAUCAGCCACACUGGGACUGAGACACGGCCCAGACUCCUACGGGAGGCAGCAGUGGGGAAUUUUCCGCAAUGGGCGAAAGCCUGACGGAGCAAUACCGCGUGAGGGAGGAAGGCUCUUGGGUUGUAAACCUCUUUUCUCAAGGAAUAAUUAUGAAGGUACUUGAGGAAUAAGCAUCGGCUAACUCCGUGCCAGCAGCCGCGGUAAUACGGAGGAUGCAAGCGUUAUCCGGAAUGAUUGGGCGUAAAGCGUCCGCAGGUGGCGAUGUAAGUCUGCUGUUAAAGAGUGAGGCUCAACCUCAUAAGAGCAGUGGAAACUACAUGGCUAGAGUGCGUUCGGGGUAGAGGGAAUUCCUGGUGUAGCGGUGAAAUGCGUAGAGAUCAGGAAGAACACCGGUGGCGAAGGCGCUCUACUAGGCCGCAACUGACACUGAGGGACGAAAGCUAGGGGAGCGAAUGGGAUUAGAUACCCCAGUAGUCCUAGCCGUAAACGAUGGAUACUAGGCGUUGCGAGUAUCGACCCUCGCAGUGCCGGAGCCAACGCGUUAAGUAUCCCGCCUGGGG